GGAAAUCUCCAGGGGAUUGGGGGGGAUUCUUCCGGGGGGCAGGUAGUGUUCAACUUGAGGGAAUUGUGGGGUUCCUUGAAAGACACUGUUGUUCGAAAAGAAAGGCUUCUGGUUAAUACCUGGCGUGGAUGACGGUACCGGAAGAAUAAGCACCGGCUAACUACGUGCCAGCAGCCGCGGUAAUACGUAGGGUGCGAGCGUUAAUCGGAAUUACUGGGCGUAAAGCGUGCGCAGGCGGUUUGAUAAGACAGGCGUGAAAUCCCCGAGCUCAACUUGGGAAUGGCGCUUGUGACUGUCAGGCUAGAGUAUGUCAGAGGGGGGUAGAAUUCCACGUGUAGCAGUGAAAUGCGUAGAGAUGUGGAGGAAUACCGAUGGCGAAGGCAGCCCCCUGGGACGUGACUGACGCUCAUGCACGAAAGCGUGGGGAGCAAACAGGAUUAGAUACCCUGGUAGUCCACGCCCUAAACGAUGUCAACUAGUUGUUGGGGAUUCAUUUCUUCAGUAACGUAGCUAACGCGUGAAGUUGACCGCCUGGGGAGUACGGUCGCAAGAUUAAAACUCAAAGGAUGGGAGGGGG
rnacentral:rRNA from 1 species